UUUCUACUCCCUCCGUCCGAAAAUACUUGUCAUCAAAAUGGAUAAAAAGAGAUGUAUCUAAAACUAAAAUACGUCUAGAUACAUUUCCUUUUAUUCAUUUUGAUAACAACUAUUUCCGGACGGAGGGAGUAUUUG
rnacentral:pre_miRNA from 1 species